GGACGACGCUGGCGGUGUGCUUAACACAUGCAAGUGGUGCGACGAACCAGAGCUUGCGUCUGGGGACAAAGCCGCGAACGGGUGAGUAACACGUGGGUAAUCUACCCCGAUGACCGGGACAACCCGAGGAAACUCGGGCUAAUACCGGAUGUGGUACGGAGACAUAAGUCUCUUUACUAAAGGUAGCUUCGGCUUCCGCAUUGGGAGGGGCCCGCGGCCCAUUAGCUAGUUGGUGGGGUCAAGGCCUACCAAGGCAACGAUGGGUAGCUGGUCUGAGAGGACGAUCAGCCACACUGGGACUGAGACACGGCCCAGACUCCUACGGGAGGCAGCAGUGGGGAAUCUUGCGCAAUGCGCGAAAGCGUGACGCAGCAACACCGCGUGAGGGAAGACGGCCUUAGGGUUGUAAACCUCUUUCAGAUGGGACGAAGGUGAUGCGGUGAAUAGCCGAUGUCAUUGACGGUACCGUCAGAAGAAGCUCCGGCUAACUACGUG
rnacentral:rRNA from 1 species